rnacentral:rRNA from 1 species
AUUGAACGCUGGCGGCAUGCCUUACACAUGCAAGUCGAACGGUAACGCGGGGCAACCUGGCGACGAGUGGCGAACGGGUGAGUAAUGCAUCGGAACGUGCCCAGUUGUGGGGGAUAACUGCUCGAAAGAGCAGCUAAUACCGCAUACGACCUGAGGGUGAAAGCGGGGGAUCGCAAGACCUCGCGCAAUUGGAGCGGCCGAUGUCGGAUUAGCUAGUUGGUGGGGUAAAGGCCCACCAAGGCGACGAUCCGUAGCUGGUCUGAGAGGACGACCAGCCACACGGGGACUGAGACACGGCCCAGACUCCUACGGGAGGCAGCAGUGGGGAAUUUUGGACAAUGGACGCAAGUCUGAUCCAGCCAUGCCGCGUGCGGGAAGAAGGCCUUCGGGUUGUAAACCGCUUUUGUCAGGGAAGAAAUCUUCUGGGUUAAUACCUCGGGAGGAUGACGGUACCUGAAGAAUAAGCACCGGCUAACUACGUGCCAGCAGCCGCCGUAAAAC